rnacentral:rRNA from 1 species
GAUGAACGCUGGCGGCGUGCCUAAUACAUGCAAGUCGAGCGAACGGACGAGAAGCUUGCUUUUCUGAUGUUAGCGGCGGACGGGUGAGUAACACGUGGAUAACCUACCUAUAAGACUGGGAUAACUUCGGGAAACCGGAGCUAAUACCGGAUAAUAUUUUGAACCGCAUGGUUCAAAAGUGAAAGACGGUCUUGCUGUCACUUAUAGAUGGAUCCGCGCUGCAUUAGCUAGUUGGUAAGGUAACGGCUUACCACGGCAACGAUGCAUAGCCGACCUGAGAGGGUGAUCGGCCACACUGGAACUGAGACACGGUCCAGACUCCUACGGGAGGCAGCAGUAGGGAAUCUUCCGCAAUGGGCGAAAGCCUGACGGAGCAACGCCGCGUGAGUGGUGAAGGUCUUCGGAUCGUAAAACUCUGUUAUUAGGGAAGAACAUAUGUGUAAGUAACUGUGCACAUCUUGACGGUACCUAAUCAGAAAGCCACGGCUAACUACGUG